CAGCAUGGAGACAUUAAUGAACAGUAUGAAGUAAAUUUAUGUUCCAGAAGCUGGGGGUCCUCUCCUGCAACCUGUCCAUGAGAGUUCAGUAAUGGUGAAUUUGCCAUGUUGAUGAUGACUUGUACAAAAUCAUCCUGCAAGUAAGAGGCAGAGCCAGCAUCGUUCAAUGCAGUACUGAGCAUAAAACGUGCAAAAAUAUCAAGCCCAGGCAACUGCUGUGACAGAAUAAAAGUCCAAGAAAUCAGUUCCCCUAUGUACCCACCCACUCCGUGGGUGGUGAGAAGGCAUGGCCUGUA